rnacentral:rRNA from 1 species
UACGUAGGGGGCGAGCGUUGUCCGAAGUUACUGGGCGUAAAGCGCGCGUAGGCGGUCUUUUAAGUCUGGUGUGAAAGGUUCAGGGCUCAACCCGAACAGUGCACUGGAUACUGGGAGACUUGAGUGCGGGAGAGGAGAGUGGAAUUCCUGGUGUAGCGGUGAAAUGCGUAGAUAUCAGGAGGAACACCGAUGGCGAAGGCAGCUCUCUGGCCUGCAACUGACGCUGAGGUGCGAAAGCGUGGGGAGCGAACCGG